UAGGGAAUCUUCCACAAUGGACGCAAGCCUGAUGGAGCAACGCCGCGUGAGUGAAGAAGGUUUUCGGAUCGUAAAGCUCUGUUGUAAGAGAAGAACGUGUGUGAGAGUGGAAAGUUCACACAGUGACGGUAACUUACCAGAAAGGGACGGCUAACUACGUGCCAG
rnacentral:rRNA from 1 species